GACGUGGCCAAGUGGAUUAAGGCAGUGGAUUUGUGAAUCCGCC
rnacentral:tRNA from 1 species